GUUAUAUGGUCAAGUGAAGAAGCGCAUACGGUGGAUGCCUUGGCAGUCAGAGGCGAUGAAAGACGUGGUAGCCUGCGAAAAGCUUCGGGGAGUCGGCAAACAGACUGUGAUCCGGAGAUGUCUGAAUGGGGAAACCCACUGAGCACAAGCUCAGUAUCUUGCACUGAAUACAUAGGUGUAAGAGGCGAACCAGGGGAACUGAAACAUCUAAGUACCCUGAGGAAAAGAAAUCAACCGAGAUUCCCUUAGUAGUGGCGAGCGAACGGGGAUUAGCCCUUAAGUUGAUUUGAGAUUAGCGGAACGCUCUGGAAAGUGCGGCCAUAGUGGGUGAUAGCCCUGUACGCGAAAGUCUCUUUUCAAUGAAAUCGAGUAGGACGGAGCACGAGAAACUUUGUCUGAAUAUGGGGGGACCAUCCUCCAAGGCUAAAUACUACUGACUGACCGAUAGUGAACCAGUACCGUGAGGGAAAGGCGAAAAGAACCCCGGAGAGGGGAGUGAAAUAGAACCUGAAACCGUAUGCGUACAAGCAGUGGGAGCCUACUUUGUUAGGUGACUGCGUACCUUUUGUAUAAUGGGUCAGCGACUUAUAUUCAGUGGCGAGCUUAACCGAAUAGGGGAGGCGUAGCGAAAGCGAGUCUUAAUAGGGCGUUUAGUCGCUGGGUAUAGACCCGAAACCGGGCGAUCUAUCCAUGGGCAGGUUGAAGGUUAGGUAACACUGACUGGAGGACCGAACCGACUACCGUUGAAAAGUUAGCGGAUGACCUGUGGAUCGGAGUGAAAGGCUAAUCAAGCUCGGAGAUAGCUGGUUCUCCUCGAAAGCUAUUUAGGUAGCGCCUCGUGUAUCACUGCUGGGGGUAGAGCACUGUUUCGGCUAGGGGGUCAUCCCGACUUACCAAACCGAUGCAAACUCCGAAUACCGGCAAGUGUCAGCACGGGAGACACACGGCGGGUGCUAACGUCCGUCGUGAAAAGGGAAACAACCCAGACCGUCAGCUAAGGUCCCAAAGUCAUGGUUAAGUGGGAAACGAUGUGGGAAGGCUUAGACAGCUAGGAGGUUGGCUUAGAAGCAGCCAUCCUUUAAAGAAAGCGUAAUAGCUCACUAGUCGAGUCGGCCUGCGCGGAAGAUGUAACGGGGCUCAAACCAUGCACCGAAGCUACGGGUUCAACGCAAGUUGAGCGGUAGAGGAGCGUUCUGUAAGCCUGUGAAGGUGAGUUGAGAAGCUUGCUGGAGGUAUCAGAAGUGCGAAUGCUGACAUGAGUAACGACAAUGCGAGUGAAAAACUCGCACGCCGAAAGACCAAGGGUUCCUGCGCAACGUUAAUCGACGCAGGGUGAGUCGGUCCCUAAGGCGAGGCUGAAGAGCGUAGUCGAUGGGAAACGGGUUAAUAUUCCCGUACUUCUAGUUACUGCGAUGGGGGGACGGAGAAGGCUAGGCCAGCAAGGCGUUGGUUGUCCUUGUUUAAGGUGGUAGGCAGAGAUCUUAGGUAAAUCCGGGGUCUUAAUGCCGAGAGCUGAUGACGAGCUUUCUUUUAGAAAGCGAAGUGGUUGAUGCCAUGCUUCCAGGAAAAGCCUCUAAGCUUCAGGUAACUAGGAACCGUACCCCAAACCGACACAGGUGGUUGGGUAGAGAAUACCAAGGCGCUUGAGAGAACUCGGGUGAAGGAACUAGGCAAAAUGGCACCGUAACUUCGGGAGAAGGUGCGCCGGUGAGGGUGAAUGAUUUACUCAGUAAGCCCAUGCCGGUCGAAGAUACCAGGCCGCUGCGACUGUUUAUUAAAAACACAGCACUCUGCAAACACGAAAGUGGACGUAUAGGGUGUGACGCCUGCCCGGUGCCGGAAGGUUAAUUGAUGGGGUUAGCGCAAGCGAAGCUCUUGAUCGAAGCCCCGGUAAACGGCGGCCGUAACUAUAACGGUCCUAAGGUAGCGAAAUUCCUUGUCGGGUAAGUUCCGACCUGCACGAAUGGCGUAACGAUGGCGGCGCUGUCUCCACCCGAGACUCAGUGAAAUUGAAAUCGCUGUGAAGAUGCAGUGUAUCCGCGGCUAGACGGAAAGACCCCGUGAACCUUUACUAUAGCUUUGCACUGGACUUUGAAUUUGCUUGUGUAGGAUAGGUGGGAGGCUUUGAAGCGUGGACGCCAGUUCGCGUGGAGCCAUCCUUGAAAUACCACCCUGGCAACUUUGAGGUUCUAACUCUGGUCCGUUAUCCGGAUCGAGGACAGUGUAUGGUGGGUAGUUUGACUGGGGCGGUCUCCUCCUAAAGAGUAACGGAGGAGUACGAAGGUGCGCUCAGACCGGUCGGAAAUCGGUCGCAGAGUAUAAAGGCAAAAGCGCGCUUGACUGCGAGACAGACACGUCGAGCAGGUACGAAAGUAGGUCUUAGUGAUCCGGUGGUUCUGUAUGGAAGGGCCAUCGCUCAACGGAUAAAAGGUACUCCGGGGAUAACAGGCUGAUACCGCCCAAGAGUUCAUAUCGACGGCGGUGUUUGGCACCUCGAUGUCGGCUCAUCACAUCCUGGGGCUGAAGCCGGUCCCAAGGGUAUGGCUGUUCGCCAUUUAAAGUGGUACGCGAGCUGGGUUUAGAACGUCGUGAGACAGUUCGGUCCCUAUCUGCCGUGGACGUUUGAGAUUUGAGAGGGGCUGCUCCUAGUACGAGAGGACCGGAGUGGACGAACCUCUGGUGUUCCGGUUGUCACGCCAGUGGCACUGCCGGGUAGCUAUGUUCGGAAGAGAUAACCGCUGAAAGCAUCUAAGCGGGAAACUCGCCUCAAGAUGAGAUCUCACUGGAGCCUUGAGCUCCCUGAAGGGCCGUUGAAGACUACGACGUUGAUAGGCUGGGUGUGUAAGCGUUGUGAGGCGUUGAGCUAACCAGUACUAAUUGCCCGUGAGGCUUGACCAUAUAACACCCAAACAAUU
rnacentral:rRNA from 1 species